ACAGAGAGGUCAGUAGCUGGGAGACAGAGUAGCUGGAGACAGAGAGGUCAGUAGCUGGGAGACAGAGUAGCUGGGAAACAGAGAGGUCAGUAGCUGGGAGACAGAGUAGCUGGGAGACAGAGAGGUCAGUAGCUGGGAGACAGAGUAGCUGGGAGACAGAGAGGUCAGUAGCUGGGAGACAGAGUGGUCAGUAGCUGGGAGACAGAGAGGUCAGUAGCUGGGAGACAGAGAGGUCAGUAGCUGGGAGACAGAGAGGUCAGUAGCUGGGAGACAGAGAGGUCAGUAGCUGGGAGACAGAGAGGUCAGUAGCUGGGAGACAGAGAGGUCAGUAGCUGGGAGACAGAGAGGUCAGUAGCUGGGAGACAGAGAGGUCAGUAGCUGGGAGACAGAGAGGUCAGUAGCUGGGAAACAGAGAGGUCAGUAGCUGGGAGACAGAGAGGUCAGUAGCUGGCUGACAGAGAGGUCAGUAGCUGGGAGACAGAGAGGUCAGUAGCUGGCUGACAGAGAGGUCAGUAGCUGGGAGACAGAGAGGUCAGUAGCUUGGAGACAGAGUGGUCAGUAGCUGGGAGACAGAGUGGUCAGUAGCUGGGAAACAGAGAGGUCAGUAGCUGGGAGACAGAGAGGUCAGUAGCUGGGAGACAGAGAGGUCAGUAGCUGGGAAACA